rnacentral:lncRNA from 1 species
GCGUGCGAAUGUGUGAGCAUGUUUAUGACAACAAAACCACCCUGGGGCCCAGACCUGGAAGCCGUCAGCUAUGGAGGACCCUGGAAGCAGGCAGAGAAAGGUUUGGAGUUUUCAGUGCGAUGACACCAGCGUGCCUGCGGAAGUGGCUGUGUCUCCUCUUGCCUCCUUCCCCACCCAAUUCCGCCCCAGGAGCCCAGGGAUGGAGGCCCAGGAGACGGAUCCCACAAGAGCCAGCACCCACUCCACCCCAGGAGCUCAGCAAACAUCCACAGAGUGAACAUUCCAAGCAACAUAGUCCAGGAGCCACGUUCCAGCCAUGGGGCCUCUGCACUGCUGUUCUCUUCACAUGGCCUGCCCUUCCCCCAGAAAGAGAGAAGAGGCCCUCUCUGGUUGUCCCAUCAAAACUCCACCCUUCUCUCACCCUCCUCCCAGCUGUAUCCCUUCUCUGCAGCCCUAACAUGCAUUCCACUUUAUUUCCCUUGUCUACUGUCUGCCUCUCUAACUACUAAGUCAGUUCCAGCCGCUCCAGGAUUUUUGUCUUUUCAGUUUAGCCCUGGUUCCUCAGGGCCUUAGUGACUAGUGUGUAGUGCCUAGCAGCCAGUAGAUGCUCAAUAACUGCUUGCUGAUUGACUGGGGUGAGCUCCCCAUCCAUGGAGCUAUUUCAAGCCAAGCCUAGACGAUCUUUCAGGGCUAGUUCUAACCUAAGACUUGGUAGUUCCAUGACUCUCUUCCUGGCCCAGACCGAAAAGGAACUUUCAGCAGGAACCCGGGACUGGGAUCUGAGAUGGGGCUCCUUGGAGGACUCUGACUAGGAAGAGAGACGGGAGGCCGCACCAAAAACACAAGCCCUUCAUGGGUCUCCCAGGCGUAGGUCUGGGGAAUCCCCCAGGCCCCUCAGGAUCGACCCUGCUGGCCCUGGAUCUCCAGGACGCGUCCCUCUGACCUGCCUGCCCGGCCUGUGAGUCCCCGGCAGCAACCGCUGCAGACACAGGCUGCCCAGCGCCAGGGCCAGGCCGGAUUAUCAUACAUUAAGACAUAAUUACUCUGCGGAAAUUUACAAUACAAAGCGCCCUCCCCAAGUUGGCUUCAGAAGGAUUCCAAGGAUACAAAGACCUGCUGUGUCUGCCACCGACCCAAGCUGGCCCCAGCCAGAAUUUCAAAAGAAGUGGGUGGGUUAGUUUUUGGAAAAACCCCAUUCUACCCUCCAGGCAGAAGCCCCGCCCCAAGGGUAGAGCCCUCUGAUACCCCAAGCCCCACCCAGAGGGGAGGGUCCCCUCCACCCCGACCAGCGUUGCUCCUAAACCACUCGGGUUCCCCCAAGCCCAGAAGCUCCAAGCUGACACCACCAAGGUCACCCCACUUCUCCCAAGUUCUCUCUUUUUAGACUAUUUAGGCCUAAGGGCAGAAAGAACCUUAAAUCCCAAGAUGCUAGCUUUUGACCUGCAGAGAGGUGUGGCAGCCCACUGACAUUGAUUAAGCGCCUGCUGUGUGCCUGGUACUGUGCCAGCAUCAGGAUGCCACAGAGAACAAGACAAACCAGAUCGCUGUGCUGGGGGGAGCUUACAGUCCAGUUGAGGAGACGCAGUAAGAUGCUAAAAAAAAAAAAAAUGCACAUCAGGUGUGCAGGAUGGGUGAGUGACCGGGGUGCACGGUGGCCAGAGAGCCUCAAAGGUGGCAUCUGAGCAGAGGCCUGAAUGAGCAAGAGAGACUAGCCUGUGCAAAGGCCCUGAGGUGGGGCCAUGUGUGGUGAGGGGUAGUGGAGGCAGAGAAUGCUGGCUUUUACUCUCAAGAGGGUUUCCAGCAGGGAAGCUGCCUGAUUCGGGGGACACUUGGCCUGCUGUUCUGUUAGAUUCCUGCAUCUACCACCUCCUGGCCCUGGGAUGCUGGGCAAGUCAGUUAGCCCUUUAAGCUUUUGUUCCUCCCUGCAAAAUAAAAACAGUAACCACAGCUAACACACGCUUGUUGCACAGAACAAGACAGAGAAAGUCGGGAAAGGGAGGGCCAUGCAUGUGAGGGGCGGGGGAGAAGCUCUCUGAGCCUUAGCUGCCCCACAUGUGAAAUGGGAACCAGCCCCUGCCAACAGAAGGACUAAAGGCCCAGUGACUUGUGCCUCUGUCGUCUGGGGAGCCCAGGCACUUGGAGCCUGGCGUUCGGGACAGGCUGCCACCGUUAUCCAUGGCAUUCAGGUGAAAACGCUGAUGAAGGGGUAAUUUAUCCCUCCAGCCAUAAAACCUGGGGGAAGCCGCACAGCAAGCAGCUGUCCCGGUGCCGCCCUCCCAGGUGUCAGCGCACAAUAUCUGGGGCGGCUCAGGGGGUCCUGGGGAGAGGCCCUGCCAAUCUCCUCCAGCCUGCUGGGUGCCAGCCAGAGUGGAGAGCUGGGAGGGGCCGGAAUUCAACGGAAGAACUGCAGGCCUUUCAGCAGCCUCCUCGCAGGAGAACAAAGGCUGCAGCCUCCCAACACCAGGUGGCUGACAGCAAAGAAAGAGGCUCAGAGAGGGGAAGCAACUUGCCUGGAGCCACACAGCGCACAGCAGCAAGCCGGGCUCUGCAAAGGCACGGCCAUCGGGCAUCAGCACCUGUACUGCUGACUGGCUUGGAAGGCUCAGCUCAACUGAGAAAUGCAAAAUGCUGGAGCCCCUGGAGGACUGGAGUGGAAAAGGGGAAACCUGGAACCCAAGCCUUUAUCUGCCCUGCUGGGGUGGGGGACCCGGGCUUCUUCCUAAAACUCCUGGGCAAGGGUAGAAAGAAACAUCAGUUCCUGAGUCAAGGGUAGAGCCAGGCCACCCCUUCCUAGGAUGGGUGAUCAGGACCUGCCGGGUGACCCUCGACCUCUGUGCCACACUCACCCUGGGCAGGUGACUGUGCCUCUCUGGGGUCAGCCCCUCCUCUGUGAAAGGGGGAUAAUCGCAGCGCUGCCUCCUGGGCUAGUGCGAAGGAGAAAUGAGCCCAUGCAGGUACUGCAUAGAGUAGGCGCUCAAUAAGCUUCAGCUCUGGCUAGCCCAGGAUGGAGGACUCUUUGGAUGUCCUCCAGCUGCUGGGUGGGGUGGUGGGGUCCUUGUCACAGCAGACCUGCCCUGGCUGGCCCUGAAGCACUUCCUCCACCACCCUUGCAGGGACAGCAGAGAAAAACCCAAGUGCCCCGAAUGCACACCCCACUUCCCUGAGAGGACCGCGUCCUCCCUCCUCGAGGUGAUCACCACUGGGCAGGCUGGGCACCUCCACUUUCUGGGACCCCAACUUCAAGGGCAUCAGCCACCACCUACCAUGAAGAGAACCGCAGAGGAGAAGACCUGCCUCUGCCCCUGGCCGGGUGCCCAGGGACGGUCAGCUCACCUCCAGGACCCCAGCGUCCUGACUGUGAUGCCCCUGGCCGGGUGCCCGGGGAAGGUCAGCUCACCUCCAGGACCCAAGUCCUGACUGUGAUGCCCCUGGCCGGGUGCUUGGGGAUGGUCAGCUCACCUCCAGGACCUCAGCGUCCUGACUGUGAUAAUCAAGACAGGGUCACCUAAAGCCCCCAUGCAGGGCCUGCAUUCAGGGAAGGGCCUGCCUGCUCUUGUAAACCAGGCAGUGUUGCAAAACUGGGGUGGGAGAAGCUGUGAGAGCCCAGUGAUGACCCAGGGUCCCCGUGUCUAAUCCACAGGCUUUGCAGUGGCAAAGCAAGACAGAAGCACCAUGAUCCCCAAGGACACACCAGGGCAUCAGUCCCCAAGCAAGCCUGGAACCCAGAUUUGCAACCCCAGGACACAACUGCUUUUAGUCCCUCCUGGACACUUGGGAAAGAAAAGCGUUUCUAAAACUCUACAUCAAGAAUAGGUGACCCUUCAAAAAAUGCCCCGUAAUACCCAUAACAUACCCCUGCUCUUGGCAGGGCUUAGUUAGGAAGAAAGGGUCUGGGGACAGCUUCUCCCGGGAGAGCAGACAGUCAAUUCGGGACUUGCUAGAGGAAGACAUGCGGCCCAGAUGUCAGGUGAUCCGAGCUCCAGCAUCUACCCCAGGCCUCUAGCAGAGACCAAUAAGGACGUCUAGGCUCCAAAAGUGUGGAAGGGGCAGCGUUUGGCUUCCCUUCGCUUUUCAAAAGCAAGCCCACCUCUAUGCUCAUUUCAAAGUCCUUCGUUAAGAGAUAAACUAUUUCCUCGUAGAGUCUGGAAAACCCAUUUAUUUUCAAAUUCCAGUUACAUCGGAGACCAUGUCCCUUUAAAUGUGCCUUUCCCUCUGGAAUCCAAGAGACUCCGAAGCAUUUGGUAAUAUUGUGUAUUAAGGACGCACCAUAAAAAUAAAUUGCAUUGUAAAAGCUGGCCUCUUAACAGACAACCUUAGCUCCAGGGUUAAAUGUCUAAUUCCAUACUAUUACCCAGAGAGAGAUCAGAUAAAUCAAAGGGCACCGGUAUUCCUGGCCUUGCUCCUGUGGGCCUCUGGCCUGGCACAGAAUGUGUUAAGCAGGGCCCAGGAUAAGAAACCUCUUCCAGGUAAUACUCCCCCGUCACUGCUCUAACACCAGGAGCACCUUCAAAACCAAAUGCUCCCAAAGACAGCUGUCAGACACAUUAAAAAACAGGAAGGGGAAAAAAAAAAAAAAAACAGAAACGAGGCAGCAUACCAAAUGCCAAAAUAUAAUGAAAAUUCAACAGCUAAAACAAAUAUAACCAUAAAAAGACUGGAAUCCUAGAAAAGCGAUCUCUACAAUUAAGCAGUUUUCUGCUAUAUAGUGAUAAUCACCUAAUUAUACUAUUAAUGACAGUUCAACCUGCUUUGAAAUAAAAGGACAUUCUUCCAUAACAGGAUGCCAGCUGUUAGUUACAGAUGUCAAACAUCUUUAAAGCAUUAUUAUUAAGGGGGAGGAAAAAAACCCUAUAAAAUGAACACAUCCAUAUGCCCCUCCCGCCCGUCAUGAAAAAGAAAUCGCAAUUAGCCGUGUGUUUUUGCAGUGCCCAAGUGAAAAAAUAAAAAUAAAAUGUGAAAGCCCAAGGAGGAGAUCAGAAAAGAGGGGAGACGAGAGGGGAGACGAGAGGGAAGCCGGUCCCCACAGGGCACACAGCACCAGAGCGAAGCAAGGAGGGGUCUGUGUGUAUUUUAACGGCAUCCUUAAUUCCUUCCAAUGAAAUAAUCUCCGGAACCAGGAUGUUUAUGCCGGAUAGCAGAUCUCCUAGAUUCCGCCAGAACUCCCCGGGUAAACACAAAUCCUGGAGUGCCUCGUUUGAAAGCUGCUCGCCACAGCCAAAGCUGGGAGCACCGCAGGUUGCAGAGGUGGCUGCCACCUGCCUGCCCUGGCCCUGUGGACAUAUGCUCAGCCUCAUUCCCUGCCAGUAUUUCUUCAAACUGUGCGUGCCUCUGACAUUCUGUAGCGCCAAGGUGUGAUAAAUAUCCAACUUUGUCUUCUGACAAUAGGCAGCCACAUUUAAUUAACUGGAGCGUAAAAAGCCGGGGGGCGGGGGAGAGGGGGAGCGGGGAGCCGCUCCCCAGCGAGGGGAUUAACCUUUGAAGCAAGCCGCUGGCAGGGCAAGGGGGCUGCCCGGCCUUGUCGGGAGGGUGCGAAGACAAGCUGGCUCAAUCUAAAGAGGGGACGCUCAGGGUUAAAUCCCCCGCCUGCCUGGAGCGCAGAUCCCAAUAUAACCAGGGCAGGCUCCAGCAGGGAGCCCCCAAGGGUCCGUGACCGAUGCCUGCUGCCUCCCACCCUGGCUGUAGCUGGGUGAGGAGGAGACCCAGGGGACCUGAAGCACAGGAGGAGACCAGCCAAAUCUCAGCAGAGCCACCAGCGGACAGGACACAGUGUUUUCCGAAGGAAAAAAAACAUCUGGCACAUUCCACACCAGCGCCUUCUUGGGCUCUUGGCAUCACAGCCCAGGUGUCCUCUGGAGGCCGGGCGGAGAGGCCCAGAAAGGAAUGACCUAGGCCCAGAAAGGAAUGACCUGGCUUUGGGUGUGUUCUACGAGGUCACUUCCUGUAGCUUUCUGACCCCGGGGCCUCGUCCGAGGCGGAAGGGACAACUUCGCAGAGUUCGGCUACUGCUGACGCGCAGGGAGUAAGCCUCGGGUUUUGAUGGGAUAGCAGACAGGUGGAUUGCAGAGCUCCGGAAAGACCCAGCCGGGUGUCAAGAAGAGCCCUCCUAGUUUGGCCUCUAACUGGCUGUGUGACCCCAGGCAGGUCACUUGUCCUCUCUGGGAAGCAGCUGAAUAAUGAACACUGGGAUUUUCCCAGGCUGGCUUCUCACUGCAGAGCAGAGGAAAAGCAUUCUGGGGGCCUGCUAUGGAGGGUCAUUUAUCCAGUUUACAACUUCCACGGCCGGCCCUCAAUGGCUUCCUUUCUCUCCCACAAGAGCGCUGGGCCAAGCCAGCUCUGCACCAGUUGGACGCCUUCCAAGAAAAACUCAGGCUCCGGGGGCUGCUUGUCAGGACCAGACGGGAGGCCUGGCGCCCCCGCCCGCCAUGUGUGGGGAGCGGGCCUCUCCCAAGCCAGUCCCCGCGGGGGCUGAGCUGAUGGGAUGUCCUGCUUCUUCUCUGGCCAAAGAGACGGCGCCACGUCUGCCCGAGUUCUCCUGAAAUUCCCACACAAGGAGGGUGGCAGCUGUCACCUGCCCUUCCCAGCUUUGGUCUCUUUUUCUAUGGAAUUCAGCUUUGGAAAACAUUUUCUUGAGUUCCCAGGAAGUUCCCCAGAAACACAGGGAGGACACUCACUCACAAUAACUCCAAUCUGAGGCAACUGGUGGCCGGAGGAGGAGAAAUGCUUCCCGGGCCCAGACUGGCACAAACCAGUGCGCCUGCCGGCUCCCCCUCCGGACGCGCCCACUGUGAUGGCUGGGUGUUGCUAUUAAUAGCAGCAAUGAAAGACAUCAUUCAGCUCCUUCAAGUUUCCAAAUAAAAUACGCUACUUGAUACAGAAAACCAGCAGGACCCCAGGACACAGCUCCACUUCACAGCUGGGAAAACUGAGGCUCAGGAAGAGAGUCUGGCAGUUCCUCAAAAAGUUAAAUAGACUUACCAGAAGGUGCAGCAGUCCCACUACAGAUACAUGCCCAAGAGAAAUGAAAACAUACAGACACACAAAAACAUGCACGCCAGUGUUCACAACAGCAUUAUUCGUAAUAACCAAAAAGUAGAAGCAAGCUGAACGUCAUCAACAGAUGCAUGGAGAAACAGAACGUGGUCUAUCCAGGCCAGGACAGACGACUUGGCUAUGAAAAGGAAUGAAGUACUAGCCCAGCACAGUGCAGCGCACCCGUAGUCACCGCUACUCAGAAAGUGAACAUGGCUUGAGUCCAGGACUUCGAGGCCAGCCUGGACAACAUAGCAAGACUUCAUCCUUUAAAAAAAGAAAGGGAUGGGCCGGGCGCAGUGGCUCAAGCCUGUAAUCCCAGCACUUUGUGAGGCCGAGGCGGGCGGAUCACCUGAGGUCAGGAGUUUAAGACCAGCCUGGCAAAUAUGGCAAAACCCUACUAAAAAUACAAAAAUUAGCUAGGUGUGGUGGCGUGCGCCUCUAAUCCCAGCUACUCAGGAGGCUGAGACAGGAGAAUCUCUUGAACCCAGGAGGCGGAGGUUGCAGCAAGCAGAGACAGCGCCACUGCACUCCAGUCUGGGCGACAGAGGGCUGCCGGCCCUCUGCAUGUGUGAUUCCUCUCUUGCAAUGCCCUGACUUGAUCAUCUGCAGGUUCUCCAAAGUGGGCCUUCCUUUAGGUAAUAGACAAGGCCCCACACCUCUUCCAGAAAGCCCACAAUGACCCCUUGGCUCCCCUUUCCCGGAUGAGGUCCUGGAGCAGCAGGGGCCCCUAGGGUUGGGGGAGCCCUCGGAAACCGAGGGAGGAGAACUGGGUUCCGGAGCAGCCCCUGCUGGGUUCUAAGCAGCCCAUCCCAGGCACAUCAUUUAACCUGCUCUGGAAAAGAAGGCAAGGCACACUGUGCUCACACACAGCCUGGUGUGUGUGUGUAUGUCGUGUUGUGUGUUGUGUGCACGUGUAUGUGUGUGCGGUGUGUGUGUGGUGUGUGUGGUAUGUGGUUGUGUGCAUGUGGUGUGUGUGAUGUGUGUUGUGUGUGUGGUAUGUGCUGUGUGUUGUAUGUGCUGUGUGUGUGUGGUGUGUAGUGUGUGUGGUGUGUUUGUGUGUGGGGGUAUGUGGUGUGUGUGGUGUGUGAUUGUGUGUUGUGUGUGGAGGGGUAUGUGGUGUGUGUGGUGUGUUGUGUGGUAUGUGGUGUGUGUUGUGUGUGGGGGUAUGUGGUGUGUUGGUGUGUGUGUGGUUGUGUGUGGUGUGGUGUGUUUUGUACGUGUGGUAUGUGGUGUGUGCGUGCUGUGUGUGUUGUGUGUGUAGUAUGUGGUGUGUGUGUAGUAUUCAGUGUGUGUGUGGUGUGUUGUGUGUGGUAUGUGGUGUGUGUGUGUGCGUUGUGUGUGGUGUGUGUGUGGUAUGUGGGGUGUGGGGGGGUGUGGUUGUGUGUAUGGUGUGUGGUAUGUGUUGUACGUGUGUGUGUGUGCUAUGUGUUCUACGUAUGCAUCACUAGACACUAGUACUGAUGUCCUCCAGGGUCCACCUGGUCCCCACAUCCAAUACCACUUGACAAUGGAAACCACUCCUUCCUUCAUGAAACUGCCACUUGGUGGUUUGUGCCCCCACGCCCAACUCACUUCCCCAUUUCAUGGACAGCCACCGUCUCUCAGAUUCCAAACAUGUCCCUUGCUGCCAGCUCCUCCCUGGGCCUGGCCACCGACAGGGACCCUCUGCAGCCUGAGCUCCGCCAUGGCCUCUGCCCCCACGCCUCUGCCUCCCUUGCUGGGGCCUCCUGCAGUCUCUGACCUGUUUCUCCCCCUCAGUCCUUCCUGUGUUUAAUGUCAAAAGGUCAGUCAGUCAGGUCCCUGCUCCAGGUCCCUGUGGCCCCAAACACGGCAAAGACCUCCCCACUAGGCUCUCAAGAGCCUCCCCGAGAAGACCCGGUGACGCUCCCAGGCCCGUGCCAGUAUCGCUCCGAGGAUUGCAGGCCCAGCCUUCCAGCUUCUGGGCUGAGGACUGGCACGGUCCGGUGGAACUUUCUGGAACAAUGGAAAUGCUCUCUAUCUGCACUGUCCGACUGAGCAGCCUCCAUCCGCACGUGGCUGUUGGGGGCUCAAGAUGGAGCUGCUGUGAUUGGGGCACUGAAGUUUUCAUUUUCUUUAAUUUUGAUCAGUUCAGUUUUCAGGUCUGAUAGCCACGGAUCUAUGCUAGUGGCCACCACAUUAGGCGGUGCAGGUCCAGUGCCCUGGCUAUCCAAUGUGAGGCCUCUGGGCCAGCAGCACUGAUGCCGCCCGGGCCUUGGAAGGGUGCACGUGACUCCGGGGCUCAAGGGAGGGAAGUUCCCCUGUGCCUUGUUAGAAAGGCAGAGCCUAGGGCCCCUCCCAGACCCGCUGAAUCCGAACCUCCCCUUUAGCAAGAUCCGGGUCACUGGAGUACACAGUACAGUUUGUGGCAUGCUGAGAUAAAAACCACUCUCCUCUUCACACCUCCCCCACCUUCCCUUUUCAAAAGUAACCAACGCUUCAGAAUCUGCUUCAAGCACCACCUCCUGCAGGAAGUCCUCCCAGAUCACUCCAGCCAAAAGGAAACUUUCCAUCCUCCAAGCGCCUGGAGUUACCUGUAUCCUUCCAACCCCCAGAAACUUGGAGUCAGUGGCUUGCGGCUGAGCUCCUGCCUCCUCCGGCGUCCGGCAGGGUCUUCGAGAGAAUCCUGUGACAGACUUUCCACCCUCCCCCUCAGCCCCUCCAGGGCCUGGCACCAACAGGUGCUCAGGAACUGCCCUGGCAGUUGCACUUGCAAGAAGCCAACGUCUCUUUCCAAACCAGGGCAAGGAGAACAAAGUUGGUUGCGGGCUAUUUGCGUUCCUAUUCCUCCCACGCGGCUCACCCCACCGGUCUGACCCGCUGGCCACCUCUCUCCGAGAGCCCUAGAACCUGGGAGGUGACAGGGCCCUGAGUCAAAGGCAUCAAAAUCAGAUGAAAAGCCAGGCAGGUGGAGUUAUGGGUUUCAAUAGCCAAAUAAAACCGCACAUGCUUUUCAUGACUCUCUCUGCAGGCUGGGAUCAAGUGCCACGACUUUGUCACACAGCAGGUGUCAGUUCUCGAAGUGCCUGCCAGCAGGCCACUUGCGGGAACCCCCAAAGCCCCAGAGAAUCCCUGGCAGAGGCGGGUCAAGGGCCAGGUCUUUCCUCUCCCCAUUGCACUCCCUCUCCUAAGCACAGACUUGACAGCCUCUCACAUGCUGGGAGGCUCUGAGGACCUCCUCCAGCACCAAGGUCCUUGAAGAUGGACACUGACCAAGGGCCAGGCCCAUCCAGAACUCCCCCCACCUUGGAAGGGGCCCUCAGAACCAGCCUGUGUGCCUAGGACUCUGGCAGGCAACCUCUCAUUCCAUCUGGCCACUCAGCUAGCCCGACGGCUGCUUCUCCGAAAAGCUCACUGCAAGAAGUGGCCAGUUCAGCCUGGGAACUCAGGGCCGCAACUGUAUCUUGGCUCUAAUCCCGGAAGCCACCAGAAACCUCACUUUUCUCUGUCCUCCUCCGACAGAGGCGGGGAUUGAAACCCCCACCUCCACCCCCUAGGGCUCAGGCAGGAAGUGGCCUCAUCUCCACACAGAGGUGGGCGGUCUCCAGGGCUUGUAUUACAAAUGGGUCUGUCCAGGCGGUGGGCAGGUGCAAGGCCCCCCGGAGAGACUGGCAAAGCCCACACAGGCCUGAUGCAGUGCAGAGGCUUUCCCCAACGCACGCCACGGCCACAGUGUAGUAAACUCUUCGGUUCCUGAGAAGCAGGGAAAACACACGUAACACGAGACGGCAGUCAUCCGCAUAUACCCGUGUGUGCUGGCACUGAGCUAGGGAGUCCCAGGAGGUCCUGCGCUGGAGCUUCUCUCCCAGCAGGAAAUCCAGUGAUGAUGACGAUCACACAGACGAUAAUACCAAGAGCAAGUCCGCCCUUCCUGACAGCCUAGACACCACACUAAGCUCUUGAAAUGUACAAAGCCUUUUAAUUCUCACAGCAGCCUCAGGAAAAUUAUCCUCCACAUUUACCACCCAAGUAAACUGAGGCCCAGAGAGUUUCAGUAACUUGCCCACAGUCUCAUACACAAGGACUCAAGGCGGAGCAAGAAUUCACAUCCGACCACUUGGCCCCCAGGCCCAGGGGCUCAGCUACUAAAUAAAGAGCUACAGUGGUAGGUCACGGUUGCUUACUAUCUACCCAAGAGCACAGAGCAGGGAGCGGCCACUCCUAACAGGAGUGAGCACUGACCGUUCCCAGACACCUGGGCUCAGCGCUCUAGGCAGCAGGAACAGCCUGGCCAAAGGUGUGGAGGACAGGUAGAGAAGGGCAGGCUAGAGUGUUAGGCAGGGUUGGCCCUGUCGGGGAGAAAAGGAUCCCAGCAGAACCAUCUUGGAAAAAAUGCAAACUUACUAUUUCAAGAAGGCUUGAAUUUGGGAGGAGGCUCCGUUGCAUGCCACCCAGAAAGUGACCUCAAUGACACUAACCAUGAUCAUACUCCAGAACCAAAGAUUAUCUGUUAAAGGGACUCAUUUCUAGGGGUCUCCAUCCUUCCCAGGAGGCUCUAAGAGGGGAGUAGAGGCAGAGAAGUGGGAGCUUCCGGCUCCUUCUGCACAGACGUCACCCUCAUCCACAGCAGCUCCAAAGUGAGAACAGACCGCUGUGAACCCAGGGUGAUCCAGGGGGUCAAGAACCCUCUGAUUUCUGCUCCCAUCUUGAGCUGGCCCCAGCCCAGCCCUGGUCGAGCUUCAACUUUGCUAAUGAGCUGUGAGUUACCAGCCCCACCUCUGGACCAAGAAACUAAGGGAGUGAAUGGGGAAGGGUUUCCCAAGAGCCUCCGCCCUGGGUAAUAAGCCCGUAUCUGGGUCACGAGGCUGGCUGCCUGCUCUAGCCACUGAUCAACCAACCCUGUACUGAAGUCAACGAUGAAUAUUCAUGAGCCUAUCCAGUUCCACACUUUCAUUUCUGGCCCAAAUUAAUAAUUUACCAUGGAGUUUCAUAAAAAUCAGACAUAGCUCAUUAGUAGCUCCCUAAAAGGCACUCCCAUCUUCCCACUGAUCCAGUGAGGGGCCCAUCUUGCCUCUGUGACAAGAAACAACACCCUUAUUUUCAGAGACAACCCUCACUAUUAUUUUCAGAGGGCUGGCGAACCUGAAAUUGGGGGCCGCCAUGACUGUGGAGGCCCACCCCGGAGGCCUACCAGCCUCCCCACCAGGGCACAAAGACCUCUGCCCUCAAAGCUCCAUGUCACAGGUCUUCAGGAAACUCCAGAAGCAGACCCUGGAAGAAGAUGGAACCUCUUUCCUUCCUCAAGGCAAGGCUACCACUCUCUGGAAACACAUACUUCACAGAGGAUGUGGGUGGGUGGAGCAUGUGUAGCUGAUGACAUUUUCCAGAGAGGAAACAUCAAUUGCAUCUCCCAAACCCCAUGCCCUUCUAGAAGGGUACCAUUCCCCCAUUAAGAGGUGGAGCCCAGGCCAGGCACAGUGGCUCGUGUCUGUAAUCCUAACACCACUGGGAGGCUGGGGCAGGAGGAUCACUGGAGCCCAGGAAUGCGAGAUCAGCCUGGGCAACAUAAGAAGACUCUGUCUCUACAAAAAAAUUUAAAAAUUAGCCAGGUGUGGUGGUGCAUACGUGUGAUCCCAGCUACUUGGGAGGCUGAGGCAGGAGGAUCACUUGAGCCCAAGAGGUAGAGGCUGCAGUGAGCUGAGAUCGCACCACUACACUCCAGCCCGAGCAACAGAGCGAGACCCUGUCUCAAACAAACAAAAAGAGAUGAAGCCUAACUCCCCUCCAGUUGAAAAUGGGCAGGCUUGUCCCUCACUUGCAACCAACAGAAUGUGGUGUGGUACAGCCUUCCCUCCGAGGCUAGGCCCUAAAAGGCCGUGCAGCUUUCCGCUUGUGAGCUGGGACCACUGCCUUCGGAGCUCUGGGGCCGCCAUGUUUUGAGGAAGCUCAUGCCACACUGAGGGGCCACGAGGAGGCGUCCCAGCGUUGAGAGCCCCGGCUGCGGUCUGGCGAACAGCCAGCACCAACUGCCAGGCCUGAGUGAGAGGAGCCUUCAGACGACUCGGGACUCUGCACAGCAAAUCACCUUGCCUCCCAGUCUUCCCAGCUGAGGCCCCAGGUGUAGCUGGGCAGAGACCGGCUCCACCCCACCACACCCUUUCUGAAUUUCCAACGCACAGCAGCUGGGAGAAUAAAACGAUGUUUUAUGACCACACACUUGCUCAUGAAGUCUUCCUCCAUGCCAGGAGCCCUGGUCCCCUGCAGACCCACCCACCAGCCGCCCCAUCCCCUCCCCCGCAACGGUUGGUCUGACCUGCCCACCGACAGGCCGGCACCCUGUGGUGAGUGCUGUCAUAAAGACAGCACAGGCGGUUGAAAUCCGCCUGUGAGUGAAACUUUCCAGGAGAGAAAUUGGGCGGAGGGGGGUGGGGGUGGGGGUGGGGGUGGGGGUGGGGGCGGGAGUAACACCUUGUCCCUGGGCCCUUAAGAUCUAAGAUAAAGGCCGUGACACUUCCGACAGUGACACAGGUUCUUGGAGCGGGUGAGAGGCCUACGUGACCGCCCCCUACUGCCCAUGCAGUGGCCGGCCCUUCCGCUGCGGCCCCUCCACAGCAAGUUCAAUUAAGACCCCGCCAUUCUCUCCUCCUCCCUUCUUUUAUGUUCCCUGCCGGCCCCCCUUUCUCUUGUCAGAUAAUCACGGGAAACCAGCAAACGGUUGACACAGUUACCAAGACGACAGAAGUUAGGACCAGCGAGGAGGUCUGAAAGCUAAUCCUAAAUGAAUUACAGGACAAGAAUGACAAGAGGUGGGGAGGGUUGGGGCCGGUUCAAAGGCCCCAGAGUCUGAGACAAGGUGCCAUCGGCCUCGGGGCACUGGCUGUGGGCCUGUCACUCACUAAGGGUGACACUGAAGUCUUCUGGGGUUGGGGAGGUGGAAGAAGAAAUCUAUAACAAAGAAAUUCUCCGCUGAGGCCGGGCUGGCCAAUAGCGCCCUCCAUCCAGUGACUCCUGGGGCCCAGGGUUCACCCAGUUCGGCUUUCCUUACAUGGGACGCAGUGGAGAGAGGGCCAGGACGACCUCACCAGGACGAUUCCGUUUCUUCUUUACUUAUUCAGAACUUGCCGCCUUGUGACCACGGCGCUGUGCGUGGCCUGGGCUGGCGGACAGCCAUUUCAGGAGUCUGGGCUUCUCAAAGACCCUCCCUGCCCAGCCCACUGCCUCCACCAGGAGUGACUUGGCCAGGUCUCCCAGGUGGGGUCCCCCUCUUCCAGGUCAUUCUCAAAUCCAAGAUAUGGACGGCGUGCAGCUGGGAGCAUGACAGCUGGGAGCUAUCAACCCAAAUGGUAAUUGCAGCUCAGGGUCCUACAGCGCUUGGUCCCUCCCUUCUGCCAGUUAACUCAUCGAACACUGUCAGCAGCCCCAGGAGGCAGGCUCCGCUACUGGCCCCAUUUAGCAGAUGAGAAAACAGAGAUCCAGAGAGGGUAAGGAACCUGCCCAGAGUCACACAGCCAGUAAGGAGCAGAGGCAGGAUGGAACCCAGUGCUUAGGCAGCGCUGCAGCCUCAGAAAAGCCUGCUGCCCUGGAACCCACAGGGCCCACCAGAAGACUGGCAAGGACACCCGGGGAACCCUCGCCAUCGGGACCCAACUCCUCCUGGAGCAUGGCCGAGACCCAGGGUCCCUCCUGCUUCUUCUCACACCUUCUCUCAGGCUUUGGCCUGGUUCGAGCACCGCUCACCCCACAGCCUGCUCUCAAAUCUCCUGCUGGUGUCCAGGGUCAGGUGAAGGGGUCAGGCCUGUUCUCUCACUCCAGUGGGCACUGGCAUCCCCAGGAGGGCUCAUGAACAUGCAGACUCCACAGGAAACAGCCUUGGCACUCGCUGCCCUGGCUCUCUCACCCUUCCCCUUCUCUCCAGAGCUUCCCUCGAGGGACCCUUCGCCAUGGGCCCCUCGCCGGUGUGGGCACUGCACGAGGAUGCAGCUCUGGGGGCUUCUCAGGGGCAUCUCCCUGUGCCUGGCCUGCGCUCCCUCUACACGUGUUAAACAAGCACAGGGGGUUGGUUGGUGGUUUUUUUGUUUUUUUUUGUUUUUUUUUUUGAGACAGAGUCUCACUCGCUCUGUCACCCAGGCUGGAGUGCAGUGGCACCAUCUCGUCUCACUGCAACCUCCGCUCCCAGGUUCAAGUGAUUCUCCUGCCUCAGCCUCCUGAGUAGCUGGGAUUACAGGCACGCACCACCAUGCCCGGCUAAUUUUUUUGUAUUUUUAGUAGAGACGGGGUUUCAUCAUGUUGGUCAGGCUGGUCUUGAACUCGUGACCUCGUGAUCCACCUGCCUCGGGUUCCCAAAGUGCUGGGAUAACAGGCGUGAGGCACCGUGCCCGGCCAAGUUGGUCGCUUUUAAGAACCCAGGUUCCCACUCACUGACAACAGAAUCGAGUUCAUGUGUCACCGGCUUGAUGACAUUCAAGACCCUCUUAAGACGUGGCUCCGACCCACUCCCCGGCUUCAUUCCCACACUUCACCAUCCCCUGGCCACACUCUCCCCACCCCUAAACUCUGGGCUCUGCUUCCUGCCAGAAGCUGUGAAGGGGCCCGUCCGCCACACUCCCGCACGCCUGGCUGUCUGAGGACAAGGACUGGGCCUAAUGCAUCUAUCUCUCUGGCCUGCAGAGCCUGGGAGGAGCAGGGAACAGAUUUGACAGGCACAGCUACCCCUUCCGCACAGGCUCCCUCUGCCUGCACAUUCUCUCCUACUGUUCCUUGGCUUCUGGAAAGGGCCCUGCUGCCGGACACCCUCUGGUCCCCAUGGUGCCUCUGAAGGACGCACAGGCUUCAGAGCCCCACCCCUAGAGGGUGCUGCUGAGCAACGGGGCAGGAGUGGUGGCCUUCCCUGCCAAGUCCCCACUGGUGAGGAAUGUGGGUUUCCCCAGAGUAGAAAGGAGAGCUCAAAUGUCACCUCCGCUCUGUGGCCUUCUUGGACACAGCCUUCACCCCCAUCUCAAACCAAACUGUUUUCCUCUGCACGCCCAGAAAAUUCUACACACACCUCUCAGCACCAGUACUUGUCACCCUGAUUACUCAAUCCAUGCCCCCCACACACCACCACCAACACCACAACGUGGGCAGGGAUGGCCCCAUGCCCAGCUCCCGGCACACCUGACAUGAACCUAAUGUGCUGAGUCUUGUAAGAGCAGUUUCCCUAUUUCUGUUCCUCCCUCCUCACUGUGUUAGCCUCCUUCCUCCCAGCCUCACUCACCUCGAAGCUCCAUACUUCCAAAGCCUGCUUUUAGUGCCACCUCCUCCAGGAAGCCUUCCUGGAUUCCCUCUGCCAGGAUGCUUCUAAGAGUUUCCAGAGCAAUCCAUCUGUGCUCAGCUCUCUGUUUGCUCCCUAAGUGACUUACAGAUAAAACAUAGAUCUCCUCUGCUGCUCCUGCCCAGUGGACUGACGCAGCGCAGUGCCCGGCACCCACUGGCGCAAGCCCUGCCCAGCUCACAGGGGGCCUGACGGGAGGUGCUUGGGAAGGGGAGGCUUGGUCUGUGUCCUCAGAGGACAGGACUAGGUCACAGGCACGUGUUCUGUGCGAAAAGCAACAACAUCCUAGCUCGCCACAGUGGCACAGCCCGGUCCAACCCAGGAGCAGGACCUGCACGUGCCCAGCCUGAGGUGACCACGAGACCCCCAAAUCCAGAGAAGGGAGGGACAGCCCGUCUGACCUCUGAGGUCCCUCCCAAGUCCAAUGUUCCGUGACUUCCUGACCCCACAGGCCAUUAAGCAAGCAGCCAAAUGCCCACUGGGCGGCGGUCCAGGCCUGGUCAGAGGGCGCUUCCUGUCUCACUGUGGGAGGGAGCAGAGGAUGGAGCUGCCCGGAUCCUUCAGGGCCUGGGCUUCCGGCAGGGCUGAGCUCCAGAAUGGGGUGGGAUCACCCUCUGGAGAUAAGACCUGGACCUGGCUUUACCCAAACCCCACCAGUGCCCUACUCCCGCAAUCCCCCAGCCCCAGCACCCACUCCCAGCUUCCAGCACAGCUGUAAUUGGGGCUGAGGGUAACGACCAGCGCCAACCCCAGCUGCGGAGGGCCUGGCAUGUGUGGGAAAAAGCCGGAAAAAUACAUUUUCCCCUAAAGACUUGUAAGAAAAUUCUCACUGAUUUUUUUUCCUUUUACCCCAAGCUUUCACAGCACUAAAUAUGCCACACUUAGUAAUUUUACGAGCAAACCAAACUAUACAUCACACGGUUUUAUGUUCCUAAAUUAACAAAAGGACUUUAAAUCUAUAUGGCGCUCUUAAAAGAAAAAAAAAAAAAAAGGAAGAGGAGGAGGAGGAGGAGGAGGAUACCAUGUGGAUGUUGAUUCCCUCACCCCCGAACUCCCUCUUCCCUUCGAAUACACGGUGCCCCUACAGCUUCAAAAUUUCUGCUGAUCCUGCAGCUAGACCACCAAAAGGGGACAAUCCCAGACAGGGACAAGGAUCUGUUUGGCUGAGGAGGUCCCCUAAGAGGGGAUCCCAUCAUCCUUCCUGAAAGGCCACGUUAAGGGCCACAACAGUCUAAUGAUUUUCCCACAAAGAGUAUGACAGGACGCAGCCUGGUUGAUGGAGAGGCUGCCUCUACCACCCUAGUCUCCCCAAAAGUCUAAGGAAGAGAAUUUGAAGUCAACAGGCCUGCGAGGUCUCCUGACCGCUGUGAUCUCAUCUACACAAUGCCAGGGUAGACCAGGUGACUCCAUCACACUUGACAUUGGUGAGAGGGAACCCCCCUGGGACCGCUCCCCCCAACACGUGUCCAUGUCCAGGAGGAAGAUGGGCAAGCGACACGGAGCACCAGGCUCAAAGCAGGAGGCCAAGUCCAGACACGUCCUCCCCUUCCCGGCUCUGUCCAGGAGCUGUGUGGCUUGGGCCACCUGCCGCUCCCACCCUGCACUUUCCCCUGCGUAGAAGGACACGCAUUCUUGCCCCGGAAUCCAGGUAACAUAAUGACCAUUUGCUCCCAGAGUACAAAGAAACCUCUUCUGUCUCCAGAGUCAAGGAGAUAAGAAGAGAGUUUCCAGCGGGACUAUAUCAGGUUCCCACCCAUGGCGUAACAACAACACAUUUAAGCAAGAAAAAAACCUUAAUGAGAACCAAAUUGGGCAGGGGGGGUGGGAACCAGACCAGGCCCCUCGGAAAAGGGCUGGGCUGCAGCUGGGACAAAAGGGCCCCUGGCUUUCCCAGCCGACAGAUGGAACCGUGGCGGCCUCCCCAUCUCUCAGGGGUAUCGGAAGAUUAAUUAGUGACUGCCUGGAAAGUGCUAGAUGGAAGCCGAAAUGCCUGUCCCCGCUGAGUUUCUGAGCUGUAAAUAAGCAGCUUUCUCAAUCACAACUAAAAUAGCCAUGUUUUCCUUUUAUCUGAGUCAGAUCCCAUUAGGCCUAACCUGCGCCCAGAGUGGGUCUUGGGUGGCUCCGGCGCCACAGCUAUGGUUUGCUAACGUCCCAUGACAAGCCUGAGGCUAUGCAAGACCUUGGUCCCUGCGGGUGCCCCGUCCCCGCCUCGGCUCCAAGCACCCUGGGAGUUGGGUUCCAGCCUGACCUCACCUCCAGACACCACCCCCAACCCAGGUGGGCCUGAGCCCCUGCCUCACACCUUGACUUUCUGGAAGCAGUUUAGAUGGGUGGGAAAUAGAACCCAGCGGCCCCCACAGGCCGAGCUUCACUCUGGGUACCCCAGCUCUCAGCAGGGGAAGCCUCAGCCUCCUGCAAGCCCCUCCCAGGAUGGUCAAGAAAGGGGCCUAGGACAGGCCGGAUGAGAUAUUUAUGACUUGCUCUGGCCUCCGGGGGCAGCUGGGGCCGGGGAAAUGUUCCAGGGGGACCCCGAGUCCUAGAGCAACCACCAGCAGGCUUCAUGGCUAUGGGCCAAGCCCCAGCUCUCUCUGGGCCUCAGUUUCCUCCCUGGAGGGCCGAGGGCAGCCUUUCUAGCAGUGGACAGUGAUCCUGAGGGAAGGCCAGGGUCACCCAGAGUUCAGUGUGGGGCUGGGGUGGGGUCAGCUGAUGGCUGAGGAGUCAGUCCUCCCUCCAGAAACGACAGGAACCAGAUAAGGGGCUCGGAGGGCGCCGCUGCCAACGCCAGCGGCCAGCUCCCACUCAACACAGUCAACAAAUAUUUAUGAAGCAGGGACUCUGGAGCCAGACUGCCCAGGAUCGGCGCCCUGCUCCACCAUUUAGCGCACAUGUGACCUCAAUCUCUCUGUACCUCAGUUUCCCUGGCUGUCAAGGGGGGUAAGAGUAGCCUCACCUCCAGAGCUGUUCUGAGGAAGCACCGUGUCUGGCGUGGAAUGGGAAUAGUAGACGAAGCAGCCACUGCCUCUUCCUCAUGAAUAAUUUUUUUUUUUUUUUGAGACAAGGUCUCACUGUCACCCAGGUUGCAGUACAGUCGUGGAAUCACAGCUCACUGCAGCCUCGACCUCCUGGGCCCAGGUGAUCCUCUCACCUCAGCCUCCUGAGUAGCUGGGUCUACAGGCAGGCACCACCACGAUCGACUAAUUGUUUCUGCAUUUUUUGUAGAGAGGGGUUCUUACCAUGUUGCCCAGGCUGGUCUCGAGCUCCUGGGCUCAAGUGAUCCACCCACCUCGGCCUCCCAAAGUGCUGGGACUACAGGUGUAAGAUACCUCGCCCAGUCCUCGUUAUUAUUAUUAUUUUUUUUAGGAUCGUUAUUACUGGCCCGGCACUGAGUCUGGUAAAAAGGAGACACCCAGUCUGCGCCAGCAUGGGGCUAGCAGCCUGGUGGAGUUCAGGAAAGGGGGGAUCUAGGCAUACAUACAUACAUACAGAGGAAGGUUUGAGAAGGGACCCCCGUUUGAAUUUCCCAGUCGCCCCAUUUGCAGGAAGGUGGAGGCCACAGCUUGUGCCCUCCCACUCACCAGCCCCAUCUCCUUUCACACAUGCCCCUGCACCUUGCUCUCCCUGCAGCCAGCAUCCCCUCACGGCUACCAUUUCCCCCUGGCCAGUGAAGAAGCACUAAGAGGCAGACGCUACAACCAUGGCGGCAAGAGGCCUGGUCCAAAGACAAGAGUUCAGGUCCCCACUAAGAAGCUCUAUGACUUGGCCAGGUGCGGUGGCUCACACCUGUAAUCCCAGCACUUUGGGAGGCCAAGGCAGGUCAAGAGAUCGAGACCAUCCUGGCUAACAUGGUAAAACCCCGUCUCUACUAAAAAUACAAAAAAUUACUUGGGCGUGGUGGCGCACUCCCGUAGUCCCAGCUACUUGGGAGGCUGAGGCAGGACAAUCGCUUGAACCCGGGAGGCGGAGGUUGCAGUGAGCCGAAAUCUCGCCAUUGCACUCGAGCCUGGCAAGAGAGAGAGACUCCGUCUCACAUAAAAAAAAAAAAAAAAAAAAAAGAAGAAGAAGAAAAAAAAGCUCUGUGACUUGCUGCAAAUAAUUCUACCUCAAUAACAAUAAUGACCGUGACAAAAUAAGAAUUAUUAUUAUUACAGUUAUCACUCGACAAGCGCUAACUUCAUCCCAGGCACCAUCUUCAGUGGACCUGCUCAUUCUGUUUCUUGCAACAGAGCGUGGGCAAACUUUCUCUGUCCAGGACCAGACAAUAACUAAAGAUUUUAGGCGUGGCCAGUCCAGAUGGUCUCUGCUCACAACUCAGCUUGGCCAUUAUAAUGUGAAAGCUGCCAGAGGAACAGGCGUGGCUGUGUGCCAAUCAAACUUGACUUACAAUGGGCCGGGCCAUGGAUUGCUGACCCUUGCCUUACACUGAUCCUGAGGGAGAUACAAUUAUGGAUCCCAUCUUACAAAUGGGAAAACAGACUCAAUUGAGAGUAUCAGUCACCCGCCCAAGGACACAGCUCAGGAGAGGCAGAGCCUGACUUCAAACCUACUGCCCAGCCUCAGUCCUCUCACCUGUCAAACAGGAGCAGCGGGUGCCUGAUGCCAGCCUGACUGUGAACUGCCCCUGGGGCAAUGGCUGGACAGGCGGGUUCUGGGCCCUUGCUCCCUGCAGUGUCUGGGAUCUGGCAUCAGGCAUAGAAACCAAGUCCAAGAGGCUGCAGAGCACCAUGGUGUCAGGCCUCUGUGGGGCAGGGUCAGCCUCUCAUCCAGAACCACAGGCCCGAAGCAAGCCAUGCUGGCUGCUGCACCUGGACCCCCUUAUUCCCAGUUCAGUGUGGCAGACAGAAGCCAGCUUCAUGUCCCAGCUCCGCCACUCCCAAGCUGGGCAAUUGCUGAGCCCCUGGGUCUCACUUUGCUCAUCUGAUAAGUGGGUGGAUGGCAGCAGCUACCUCAGAGAGAGGAAGUGAGAUCUACAGAGAGCCCACAAAGCAUUUGUAACAGGGCCUGAGAGCACUCAAGAGGACCAGGCCAGGGCUGGGCACGUAAAGCCUGUAAUCCCAGCCCAAGGUGGGAGCCCAAAGUGGGUGGAUCACCUGAGGUCAGGAGUUCGAGACCAGCCUGGCCAACAUGGCGAAACCCCAUCUCUACUAAAAAUACACAAAUUAGCCUGGCAUGGUCGUGGGUGUCUGUAAUACCAGCUACUCGGGAGGCUGAGGCAGGAGAACCUCUUGAACCUGGAAGGUGGAGGUUGCAGUGAGCCGAGAUCACACCACUGCACUCCAGCCUGGGCGACACAGCAAGACUCCAUCUCAAAAAAUAAAGAGGACCAGGCCACUGCCGUUUCCAUCACUCUCAAUGCGUUAACCCCAGCCCUGGGAAGCCACUCCCUGACCAUAGUUCUUCCCGGUAAGCCCUCACCCUGAAUAUUACACUAAGACAAUAAAGUGUAAAACCCCAGUGGGGACUUUAAAUACAACCACCAAAAAAACUAUAAUGCGGGGAAAGCCUGCAUCCACAGGCUGAGAUUUACUUGUGCCCCGACCUCCCCUCCCCUCACUUCUGACCUCUCUUAAUCUCCCUGGGGGUCAGGACAAAAGUCACCCCUCCUGCCUACCCACUGGGGGCUUUACUCCAGCCUGGGCUGAUCUUCCUUAAUGGCUUUGAAUUUCCCAGCCUGACACUUCCUCCUCCUCUUUCUGAGUCUCCCUGUGUAAACAGAAAAUCGGUCACCUGAUGAAUAAAUAUGCACCAGCAGCCUCCAGUGGCAGGUGAAGAGGGGUGUAGAUUACAAACACCUGUGCUUUGAAGACGCCCUGUACUUAAGAAGAUUCAUUCUUGGCACAAGCUGGUCCUGAGCGCCUCCAAGGCAGGCAUAGCUGCCGGGGAGGCACAAGCUCUCUGCUUUCCCCAGCCACAGACCCGGGGGGAGACAGACGAGAAAAACCCAGAUACAGCAUGAGGAUCUGUUUCAUUUUGGGCUAAAGGGCUCUGAUGAAUGUCAGCGCGACUCAGACCCAGCCCUCAUUUACCUGGAAUCUUCCCAUGGGAGAGAUAGCUCUGAGUUCCCAAGGGCUCACUCCGCCCUCCCCUUACAACCUUUAUUUUACUAAGUUGGGGAUUCCCGGUUCUAAUUUGGAUUGGAUCCGCUAGGGGAGGGAGGGAAAAGCGAAGCUUGCUGUUUGUUGUUGCUUUGCAUUUCAGGCAGAGGAGGAGAAAAAAAAAAGAUCAAGAAUGGAAUGGAAACGCUGGAAAAUAUUCAAUAUUCUUCCUAUCAAAACGGCAUACACACCAAGAAAAAAACAUAGACCUGGUCAGUUACUGGGAACUAAAACAGACACCACGAAACUCAAAAAGAGUAAAAGUACAGAUUUCCUCCAGGAGGAGUCUCUCCUGCCUUUUUUUUUUUUUUAAGUCAGUUGGACUCUGGUGACCCUCUGCCCUGCUCUGUUAACUCAGUGAAAACGUUUGCCCAGGUUAGGGCAGCAAAGGCCAGAUCCAAGGGAGCUGGGUCCUGUCCAGGCCCCUUCCUGCCCCACACGCUCCUCCUGGGGACUCCAGAGAGGUGUGGAAGCCUCAGCAAAAGUGACAGGAUCUUCUGAACAGAGGAAAAAAAAAAACCCGAAACCGAACACCGGGCCACGUGCACCCUUCCCCAGCAAAACAAUUCAGAAAUAAAGCUCCAGGGCAGCGUCUUCUGCAGAAUUUUAUAAAAGCCUCAACAUGGGAAAACUAGGAACUUCCCCUCUCCUCCCUACACCCCCACAUCACCCUCCCCACCCACACACACCCCACCUUCAUUAGGUACCGUGUGUCAAAGCUCAAGGGAGAUCAACUCGGAGGGAGGGAGGAAUAAAAUCAGCUCAUUCCUAGAACCAGCAGUCACACGCAGCACAGCCUUCCUGACCUGCGUCACGUGGCCCCACCUGGGGCAGGCCUGUGCGUUUCUCCCCGACCCCAGGGGGCACAGGAGUGGGGGUGACGGCGCGCGGUGGGGAAGAACCCUGGGGUUCACCACCCAGGGCUCCCUCGCCUGAAUUCCUGGAUCACCAGCUUCCAUGUAGCCUACACUUAAUUUUUUUUAAGGUUUAGAAAUCCAAAUAAGGUGAAUUCAGGAGGGGCUCCCCAAACCUCCAGCUGUCAACCCCCUCCCCUCCCCUCCCCUCCAGGCUGAAAGCGCGACUUGCCCCGAAACAGAAAGUUACAGGGCAAGCGGCUGUCACCGCGCAGGAAGGUUAAGGAAACAGGAAGCCACGCCAAAUACCC